AUUGAACGCUGGCGGCAGGCCUAACACAUGCAAGUCGAACGGUAACAGGAAGCAGCUUGCUGCUUUGCUGACGAGUGGCGGACGGGUGAGUAAUGUCUGGGAAACUGCCUGGUGGAGGGGGAUAACUACUGGAAACGGUAGCUAAUACCGCAUAACGUCGCAAGACCAAAGAGGGGGACCUUAGGGCCUCUUGCCAUCGGAUGUGCCCAGAUGGGAUUAGCUAGUAGGUGGGGUAACGGCUCACCUAGGCGACGAUCCCUAGCUGGUCUGAGAGGAUGACCAGCCACACUGGAACUGAGACACGGUCCAGACUCCUACGGGAGGCAGCAGUGGGGAAUAUUGCACAAUGGGCGCAAGCCUGAUGCAGCCAUGCCGCGUGUAUGAAGAAGGCCUUCGGGUUGUAAAGUACUUUCAGCGGGGAGGAAGGGAGUAAAGUUAAUACCUUUGCUCAUUGACGUUACCCGCAGAAGAAGCACCGGCUAACUCCGUG
rnacentral:rRNA from 1 species